ACGACCGGCAUCGCUGUCUGGCUGUUGCGGUUAAACCGUCCAUUCAUUUUCCAUGCGAUUUUGUCUGGGCGGGAUGGCAGGUAACUUGUUGGCUUGCUUGCGGUUCGCCGCUGGCUUUAGGUCUUCAGGUGUAAUUAGCUGACCGCAUCGGUUCUGUGCAGUAUGUCGGAGACGGCGGCUUGUGGUGUGUGCGUGCGUUCCAGUCGGUUGUCGUUUCCGGGUUUGGUCAUUAUGUUGCCUGUGUGUGCAGGCCUGGUGAUAUCUCGGGUGCGUUCGAUCGGCGGUUGCGUGCGUGUCACUAUAUCCAGGGCCAAUAGUCUGUGGUGUUGCGGUAGACUUUCCACCUGACCCGUCUUGAAACACGGACCAAGGAGAGUAACAUGUGCGCGAGUCAUUGGGCGUAACGAAACCCAAAGGCGAAGUGAAAGUGAAGGUCUGGCUUUGUCUGGACUGAGGUGAGAUCCUGUCGUUUCCCACGCGCGGUAUUACCAAGCAUCGAGCGGCAGGCGCAUCACCGGCCCGUCCCAUGGUGUGGUGACAUUCUUCGGAGUGUUCAUCACCGGGGCGGAGCAUGAGCGUACAUGUUGAGACCCGAAAGAUGGUGAACUAUGCUUGCGCAGGUUGAAGCCAGAGGAAACUCUGGUGGAGGACCGCAGCGAUUCUGACGUGC
rnacentral:rRNA from 1 species